UAAAAUUAAAUUGAAUAACUUAUAUCAAUUUUUGGUUUUCAGCAUUUAACGGAGAAACUAAAAAGCUUCCUAACACGUUGAAAGUUCCUUAGUACAAAUGAGAAACUAAAGUGGCAUAUCAUUUUAUAAGGAAAUGACAUGGAAUGAAUCAGAAAUGUAAAUAUAUAAGCAUUUAACCAAGAAAAAACUGUCCACCAAAUUUUAAACUGUCAUUUUAUUUUAUGAGGAAAGGAAAUGAAAUGAAUCAGAAAAGUAAAUAUAAAAGCAUUUAACCAAGAAACUAAAAAGCUUCUCUCCAAGUUGUAACUUCCUUCAGACAAAUAAAAAAUUAAACUGGCAUGUUAUUUUAUGAAGAAAGGAAAUGAAAUGAAUCAGAUGUGUAAAUAUAAAAGGUAUUAGGAUCAAUUACUCGGAAACCACUCAUCGAGUUUUACUUUCUUUAGCCACUCGAACCAAUUGAUUACGUCAAUCUCCUAGCACACCAAAAUAAUGGGAGAUCUCAGGUUCGAACUCUUAGAACAUUAAUAAAGUCUAUUUUAAUUUGGAUAUUGACAUAACGACGAGGUGCUGCCCCAGUUGUGUA